AUACCUUUCUCGGCCUUUUGGCUAAGAUCAAGUGUAGUAUCUGUUCUUUUCAGUUUAAUAUCUGAUACGUGGGCCAUCGGCCCACACGAUAUUAAAUUUAUUUUUUAUGGGUCAAGGCCCACCGAAGUAGCUUGCUACUUGGGCCUUUGCGCGUCUCCCUUGCCUUGCACUACUGCUUGGGCUUGGCGCAACCCAA
rfam:Cucumis sativus cultivar 9930 chromosome 3, whole genome shotgun sequence.